rnacentral:misc_RNA from 1 species
UUUCCGUAGGUGAACCUGCGGAAGGAUCAUUACAGAGUUCAUGCCCUCACGGGUAGAUCUCCCACCCUUGAAUAUUUAUACCUUAGCUGCUUUGGCAGGCCGUGGAAACACCAUGGGCUCCGGCUUAUGCGUGCCUGCCAGAGGAAACAAACUCUGUUUUUAGUGAUGUCUGAGUACUAUAUAAUAGUUAAAACUUUCAACAACGGAUCUCUUGGUUUUG